rnacentral:rRNA from 1 species
AAACCAGCACCUCAAGUGGUCAGGAUGAUUAUUGGGCCUAAAGCAUCCGUAGCCUGCUUUAUCAGUUUUCGGUUAAAUCCACACGCUCAACGUAUGGGCUGCCGGGAAUACUGUAAAGCUAGGGAGUGGGAGAGGUAGACGGUACUCGGGAGGAAGGGGUAAAAUCCUUUGAUCUCUCGAUGACCACCUGUGGCGAAGGCGGUCUACCAGAACACGUCCGACGGUGAGGGAUGAAAGCUGGGGGAGCAAACCGGAUUAGAUACCCGGGUAGUCC